GGAAAUGGAUUAAGACAAGCAUGCU
rnacentral:piRNA from 1 species